UGCUUAUCAAGAAAGACCGAGGGAAAGGCCCUGUGACGUCUUAGCAACCUGAAGCUACAUUAAGGUGCUAAAUCCUGCCUUGGGCGCUGCCAAAGGUGUAGAUAAGUG
rnacentral:ncRNA from 2 species